rnacentral:tRNA from 1 species
GGGGUUGUGGCUCAGCGGUAGAGCACUCGCCUAGAGUGCACAAGGCCCUGGGUUCGAUCCUCAGCACCGCUU